GGAGGAUGGACUGCCAUCUCUAAGAGAAAGACUUGCCCCCAAAUUUGUUUUGGCCAGAAAUGGUGAGAAGAAAAAGCAUGAAGAAGCCGCGGAGUGUGGGGGAGAAAAAGGUGGAAGCGAAGAAACAGCUCCCGGAGCAAACUGUACAAAACCUCGCCAAGAGUGUGGGGAGGCAGGACCGUUAUUCCUGCGGAGCAGGAGAGAGAGAGACCCUGAAACACGCGCCACCUAUCUUUGUGGGGAGGGAUAAUUGAAGCGCCCUGAGCGUGAGCAUCAUGUGAAAACGUGAUCGCCAAGUUUCUCUCUGGGAAAGGAUCUGGGAUAGAUUAUACCUUGAAG